rnacentral:lncRNA from 1 species
ACGACUGAGCGACUUCACGUUCUACUUUCUACUUCUAGCUAGUGGGGGUUUCCUUAGUCCUUGUACACUUGGGAGAACGAGUUUGGGUCUCUGGAGUUAGAAGCAAGACUGGAUAGACUUAAGGGAGCUGAAACUCACAGAAGAAGAUCAAGUACAGAAUAUAUUUCAGAUGAAGUCUAGAAUAUGGCGUGGUCUUCCCGGCCAUCUCUUUCUUCUGCCUUGUGGACAGAGGUCCGCAACAGUCUUUAUACUGCAUUUAUAUUUGAGGUGGAGGAUAUUCAUGCUAUCGCGGAUUAAUCCUUUUAAUGUAACAGUGGAAUUGUUGUGUCAUGUGUGCAUGUUGGUGAGGAAACUGUUGUUUUGGAGUCAUUCACUACUGGAUGAAAGAAAUUUGGAAGUAAGUCAAGAGAGAACAAAAUAUGAUUUGAUAGAAGGAAGUGAAGUUGUUUGCUUUAUUAACAUCACUUUACCAGGUGCAGAGUCUUUUGGCCUUCCUAAAGUACUGAAAUAUAUUCCUUAUAAAAGGACACUAAGUAAUUUAAAGCUCUCUGUCUCAGAACUAUUGAUUUAUUGAUGUUUUGGUUGUAGUAAAAUAUACAUAACAUAAAAUUUACCACAUAAACUAUUUUUAAACAUAUAGUUUAUUGGCAUUAAGUACACUCACAUUAUUGUACAACAAUCGUCACCAUCAAUCUCCAGAGCUUUUUCACUGCAGA